UUGACAUUAACCAAUAAACUGUUCAACAUACUUACACAACAUAACAUUAUUAUGACUCUUAUAAUGCGAACAACUAGGGACUGGAAUUUGUUGCCUGCUGCUGUCUUUCCUGAAGACUAUAAUCCGGGUGUUUACAAGGUGAGAGUGAAUAGGCACUUACAGCGCAGAUAUGUACCAUCCUAGACUGCAUCCCACUUAACACUUGGUGCGAUUGUGGUCAAAUACCUGCCUCGUUAUGCAUAAAAAAAAACAGUGACUAAGAUUUAUCACAAUUUUUCAGCCACAUUCUAGCUAGCAGCUAACAUGUUUUUUUUGUUUCUCAUUGCAGCUCUCGUCUUGCUCUACAGCACUUGCACUUGUCCCACCAUCUACCAGUGUUGGAACUCUUCCAAUAAUUUCCCACACCCAGGUGGAGAAUACUCCAGUUACUGCUACUGCUACUCUAAAAUAUCUCUCAUCUUGUUCUACAGCGCCUGCACCUGUCCUACCAUCUACCAGUGUUGGAACUCUUCGAAGUGUAUUAAUGAUUAUUUUAGUAACCGUAAAAGUUUAAAACAAUACAUUUUAUUGCAUAAUUAUUUGUUAGAAAAAACGACAAGUACAAAUGAGUAGGGAGGCUGUUGAUUUUUCAUGGUUAUUUUAUAUCUUGUUGAUUGUUCCAAAAAAAAACUUAGUUUUCAAGAAUGCUGUGAUUAAAGUACCUAUAGUAUUAUAUUUAAAAUGAAAACUUAGUUUGUAAAGAGACGAAGGCUGACCACAAAAGAAGUACUUAUAGCUGUCUGUGUCUGUGUAAAGAAUUUAAAUAAAAAGAUGUGUAUAUUUAAA